rnacentral:rRNA from 1 species
UACGGGGGGGGCAAGCGUUGUUCGGAAUUACUGGGCGUAAAGGGCUCGUAGGGGGGCAACUAAGUCAGACGUGAAAUCCCUCGGCUUAACCGGGGAACUGCGUCUGAUACUGGAUGGCUUGAGUUUGGGAGAGGGAUGCGGAAUUCCAGGUGUAGCGGUGAAAUGCGUAGAUAUCUGGAGGAACACCGGUGGCGAAGGCGGCAUCCUGGACCAAUACUGACACUGAGGAGCGAAAGCCAGGGGAGCAAACGGG